rnacentral:rRNA from 1 species
UAAUUUAAAGUCUAGCCUGCCCAAUGAUAAUUUUAAUGGCCGCAGUAUUUUGACUGUGCAAAGGUAGCAUAAUCAUUAGUUUCUUAAUUAGAAACUAGAAUGAAAGGUUGAACGAAAAAGUAACUGUCUCUUUAUAAUUUUUUUAGAAUUUUAUUUUUAAGUUAAAAAGCUUAAAUAAGUUUGAAAGACGAGAAGACCCUAUAGAGUUUAAUAUUUUAUUAAUUAAAUUUUAAAAUAGAAUUAUUAUUAUUUGAUUAAAAAAAGUAUUUGAUUGGGGUGAUUGAAAAAUUUAGUUAACUUUUUUUUUUAUUAAGACAUAUAUAAAUGAUUAAUUGAUCCAUUAUUAAUGAUUAUAAGAUUAAAUUACCUUAGGGAUAACAGCGUAAUUUUUUUUAAGAGUUCUUAUCGAUAAAAAAGUUUGCGACCUCGAUGUUGGAUUAAAAUAAAUUUUUGGUGUAGAAGCUAAAAAAUUAGGUCUGUUCGACCUUUAAAAUUUU